GUCCACGCCGUAAACGAUGGGUGCUAGGUGUGGGGGGUGUCGACUCCCUCCGUGCCGAAGCUAACGCAUUAAGCACCCCGCCUGGGGAGUACGGCCGCAAGGCUAAAACUCAAAGGAAUUGACGGGGGCCCGCACAAGCAGCGGAGCAUGUGGUUUAAUUCGACGCGACGCGAAGAACCUUACCAAGGCUUGACAUGCACGGGAAUGUCGAAGAAAUUCGGCAGCCCUUCGGGGCUCGUGCACAGGUGGUGCAUGGCUGUCGU
rnacentral:rRNA from 1 species